rnacentral:rRNA from 1 species
GAUGAACGCUGGCGGCGUGCCUAAUACAUGCAAGUCGAGCGAACGGACGAGAAGCUUGCUUCUCUGAUGUUAGCGGCGGACGGGUGAGUAACACGUGGAUAACCUACCUAUAAGACUGGGAUAACUUCGGGAAACCGGAGCUAAUACCGGAUAAUAUUUUGAACCGCAUGGUUCAAAAGUGAAAGACGGUCUUGCUGUCACUUAUAGAUGGAUCCGCGCUGCAUUAGCUAGUUGGUAAGGUAACGGCUUACCAAGGCAACGAUGCAUAGCCGACCUGAGAGGCGGAUCGCCCACACUGGAACUGAGACACGGUCCAGACUCCUACGGGAGGCAGCAGUAGGGAAUCGUCCGCAAUGGGCGAAAGCCUGACGGAGCAACGCCGCGUGAGUGAUGAAGGUCUUCGGUUCGUAAAACUCUGUUAUUAGGGAAGAACAUAUGUGUAAGUAACUGUGCACAUCGUGACGGUACCUAAUCAGAAAGCCACGGCUAACUACGUG